rnacentral:lncRNA from 10 species
CUACAAUAAAUCCCUCCUGUGCCAGUUUUACACCUAAUCUAUCUACGAAGCUCAUCUGCAGCGUCUGUUUUUGGGGAGCCUUCCCUGAAUGCCCCUUUUGGACUGGGGGUCCCACUCAGGCUUCAAGUUCUACAGCGCUCCUCCCAUGAAGUGGUAGGAUCUAUGUCUCUUCCCUCAUGGGCUUGCAACUGCUUUCAUAGAAAACGAUGGCAGAAGUGACACUGUAUGAUUUUCAAGGAUAGACCAUAAAAGGCCAUUGGCUUCCAUCUACUUCUCUUGGGCGCUCACUCUUGGGGAAACUAGUCACAGACUAAGAAGUCUCACUAAACAGAAGUUGCUAUGCUGGGGUGCCCCAUGCAAAGAUCUGGAUCCCCUGCCAGCUAUGGGAAUGGCCAUCUUGAACAUCCAGCCCAACAGAGCUUUCAGAUGCCUGCAGCCCUGGUGGACUUCUAUAGCUGAGCCCUUCUUGAGUUCCUGAUGCACCAAAUCUUAUGCAAAAUAACACUGUGGUUGUUUUGUAUCACUCAG